UUCUCGGCGCCAUUUUGUCUGAGCGGCGGUGGUCGCAGCUCUAUCGCAUUUUACGUUUCUGGCGAGACGAGAGCCGACUGUGUAUCCUGUAGAUUCAUUUCAGUGCGGCACCUAUCCACGGUUCACUCCAGGACAGCACCUAGUGAAGGUCGGAGGAGUCGCGAACCUGUCAAAAGGUCGGUUGGAAGCUGUGGCUGUCCGAGUGACUAGGGGAUGGCGCAGCUUUAGCGGCACCGGCACCGGAAGUGGACGGGCCGCGCGGCGGCCAUGGCAAAGUGGUCUGAAGAAAACCGAAAUCUCUCAGUGACAUAUCCUAAAGUAUUACUGAGGUAGGCGUUUGUAUAGUUUGCUGCACAGAAGUGACAUUUAGAGGAUACUAAAAACUACUGUUUUUAUGAAUAAACCUCAUUUUGUGGGAAAAUGAAGGAAGAUGUUCCACUUUUAAAAGACCUGGAUCUACUGUUGAAAAUUCUGUUUCUGAGAGCAAGCACAUGUGGGAGAGAGAAUCCCAAGCAAGCCCCACACUCAGCAUGGAGCCUGACCCAGGGCUCAAUCCCACAAUCCUAGGAACAUAACCUGAGCCCAUAAUCAAGAGUCAGAUGCUCAACUAAUUGAGCCACCCGUGCACUCUGCAAAUGCUACUUUUUGAGUGAAAUUUUCCAUGAUCCCUCUUUAGGUCCCUGUAUGAAUGAUGGAAAUAGAAGCAAAUGGAUAGUCUUAAUCAGAUAAGUGCUUUAAUAGUCUAAGUAUACUUUUUGUAAUCCCUAAACUAAAACUUGAUUCUUUAAAACAUUUGAUUUCUCUUUUCAGGUGCCCAUAUCAAGAGAGUUUACAGUAAAUAAGGUACUGGAUCUUCUCUGAAAAUAAAUUUAUAAUCUUAUCAAAGUAAAAUGAUAAGCUUUUUUCCCCCCACAAAGGCUAAUCAAUAUUUCAAUGGUGCAAUUACAGAGUGCCUCCCACAGUUGAACCUAGAUUAUUAAUUUUACAUAUAAUAUGUAUGAAAGUCAACUGUCUCAUAGCUGAAAUAGGUAUAUCUGUUUAUACAGUUUUCCAGUUAUCUAUGUUAUGGUAUCUAUAGUUUUUAGGUAGCUUCUCUCGUCAAAGUUAGAAAUUUAUUUAGAACCAGUGUCUAUUCUUUUAAAGGGCUUUUUUUAGCUAUACUGAUGUGAAUUUGUUUCAAGGAAGCUCUCUAUGCCCAUCAUGGGGCUUGUACUCCCCACCACCCCUGAGAUCCAGAGUCACAUGCUCUACCACCUGACCCCAGGUGCCCCUAUACUGAUGUGAAUUCACAGCACAAUAGAAUAAAAUGUAGCAGGUAGUUUUAUUUUAUAUAAAAGCUGUGGUAAUGAUAAAUAAUCUUGACUUGUUUGUAUAGUAGUUAGCUACUCAUGUCUAAUGAUUUGCUAUUUGAACUACAGAGAUGUUCAAAGUCCAGCAGUAUCCUGCUGCUAAACUCCAAUGAGUACAUGACCUUCUUAUGAAAGCAUGACAGUUGAGAGUGAUACUGGCAUGAACCCAGUAAAGGGUGUGUAGACCUGGCAUACUUGGCCUGAGUUACAAACUGUUUCUUCCUGCUUUGAGUGCUGUUCAGGUUAUGACAGUGGUUCUUACAGGCCUCAAUACCGAUUAUAGUCUAACUUCUUAUUUAGCAUAAAUAUGGGUACUUUAGUUGAACUUUACAGAUCAAGAAAUUUUUGAAGUGACAGAAUAGGGACUUUGUGGCUCCUUAAACCCACUCCUUACCACAAUAAAAGGGAAAAAAAAUUCACUUUUGAGCCUAAAACCUUUCUUAUGUGUCACACUUCAAGGUUAACAACGGCUGCUGGCCAACCGUCAUUUUACUAAAUGUAAAACUGAGUAGCGGCAUAAAAUAAUAUCUACCGAGUCAGUAGGGACUUACUUCACAAAAGCCCAGCGAUAAAUGAUCUUUAGAUUCUAGGCGAGUGAUGAAAUGGAACUCUGAAUGAAUGAUGCCCAAGUUUCUUUUUGUAGUAUUUUCACUUAAGGAAUUUUUUUCAGUAAACCUAAACAUUUUAAUGCCAAGUAAGUAAAUAUAUACUCGGUUACUCCCACCAAUUUUGUUACACAGGUAUCAAACUUCAGUCGUUACAAGACAAAAAUUUAAUGAAAACUGGUCAGUGGAUAUACAAUAAUCCACAGGGCUAAAGAGUUACACGGGACUGUAUUAGAAAUUUAAAAUAGAUGCUGAAGCAAAUGUUACAUAUUAUCAUCAUCUGAUUCAUCUUCUUCCUUCAGUGAUUCCUGUUAAGAGAAAGAUAGUGCUUAAAAUCAAUUUUUAAUAUUGUUGUAACAGCCUGAAUCUAAUUAAGUUUAAAUAAGCACGUCGCUGAAAAAUGAACACUUAGAAUAACAUACCCAACUAAAGAAAAGGAUAAUUAAGUUUAUCUUGCUCUAACAGUGAACAGACUAUAUACUCUUGAUAGAACACAUGGAAUGAAAGCAUUAAAUGUCCUGAAAAACCUUAUGUUUUCACAUGCAAAAUUUUUGGAACCAGGGCAAACAUAUCCCCAUUGAGGAUAACCUAGAAAAUUUUGAUCCUUAGUUCAGUUUGCCUCAAGUAUUAUUUAAUAGAAGUCAAUCACGUUCCUUUAUUAUUCAACACUUUCAUACCUAUAGACAGUUUUGACAUGCUGCAGCUUACCUUAGCAUACUUCUCUGCCUCUUCCCUUAUGUCUUUUGGAACAAUUUCAUGUCUUCCUUUAGUUACUGCAAAUUAAGCCAUAUAAAUGAAUUAGAAAUGAGGCCUGUGUUGUGAUUUGCAAUACAAUGUAUCCAAUCCAUAGGUAAGAUUUAUCUAAUGUUAAAGUCGUUAAUGGUAAAGCAGCCCUAUUCAUUAUAGUUUUUAUUUUUUUAUUUAUUUUUUUUAGUUUAUUUUAGAGAGAGACAGAGUGCAAGCAGAGGAGGGGCGGAGAGAGAGGGAGACACAGAAUCCGAAGCAGGCUCCAGGCCCUGAGCUGUCAGCACAGAUUCCGAUGCAGGACCCGAGCCAAAGUUGGCACUGAGCCACCCAGGCGCCCCAUAUUCAUUAUAGUUUUUAAAAACCCACUGGAAAGAGGCCAACUAACCAGCAGCAGAAGAGGAAAUGAAAACUUAGUGAUAUUUGGACAACAGAACACUAUACAGCAAGGCAAAUGAACAAAUACUGUACAUAACAAAUAAUUUACACAAAUGUAAUGUUGAAGAAAAUAAAUCAGGGAUAAAAGAAUAUAUACUGUGUAAUUCCAUUUACAGAAAAUUGAAUGACAGGCAAAACUACCUAUGGGAGAAGGCAGAGGACUAUGAAUUCAGAGAGGCCUAAAGGGUGAUCUGGGGAGCUAGUCUAUUUGUUGACCAGAGAGAGCACAGUGGUUACAUGCAUAUGUACAUGUACAUCAUUACCAAUUUUUAAAAUUAGAAAAAGGCACCCAGUGGUAAAUUAGGUUUAGUACAGAUGACUUAGAGCAAAUAAAUGUACAAAAAUAACUUACUUUCACCAACCCAGCUUAGCUCUAGUUCAAAAGCUUUAUCCUUAACUUCAUCAUGUACUAUGUAAAUUCUAGAACACAAAAAAAGUUUAAAAUUAACAUUUGGUCGUAUACAGACAUGCACAGUCAGCACAAAUUAGAUCAUCUGUCCCUAAUAUAACCUCAAAAGAAACAUUUCCUCAAAUGGGAAAAGGCCAAUCGUUACUUUUGCCUUUUCAGGAUACUUGUUUAUUCCUUUCAUUAAGUGAUUAUUUUUUAAACUAACUUAGUAGUUUGCAGUUAUUACUGGUCCCUCCAGUGUGAAGCUUCUUGGCAGGUAUCUUUUUAAACCUCUUCUCCAUUUUAUAAGCACUAUAUGCCCCUUAACCUGGCCUCCAAACUAUAAUACAUAACAAAUUACAACAAACAAGAAGGCACUGUCAUACAACAUAUUAAAAGUAUCAUAUCAAAACUUUCUUUACAUUUUCCAGCAUCUUCACACAGUUUACUUUGGAGGAUAUUUUUAAAGCCUUGCUAUAAUAUGAGAAAGCAUCUUCAUUUUCUAGACUAAGUAAAAGAUGCAUAGUGCUCCAUUUUACUAAAUGAUAAGGGAUGGCUUUCUUACACAGAACUAAUUAGCAUCUGCUGUUACACCUAAAAAUAAAAAGGUGUGGUAAGGGCUGUUUUCCAGAAGCAUUUCUCAGUGAAGGAAUGGGAGUUUAUCACAUUUAAACUGUUGUACAGUUCAGUAAGGAUUCUUUAUUUUCCAGGCAGUUCUGUCAGGUAGUUCCCAGUGUUCCUCAUGUUAUUAACUGACAAUCACAGAAUGGGUUCUGCAUAACUGGGAAGUGGAAGGGUCUCUUGGUAAAAGGGAGGAGGAAGGCAGGUGAUGUGGCAGUUGGAAGAGUGGUGACAGGACAAAAUUAUAAAACACUUCCAAUAUUUUAUUAUAGCUAUCAGUUUAGAAGAGAUUAAGGAUGUCAUUUAAAUAUAUAAUAAAGCCUCUUAGAUUUUUUUCCUUGCAUGUAUUAUUAAUUAUAAAACCUGAGGCACUUGCACAAACUGCUGGCUAGACCAUGUUGAUGUAGUUCUCGUGUGGGAAAGAAGAGCCGUGAAUCCUCUGGAAUAUUAUGUUUAUUACUUUUAAGUCUGAAAAGCUGGCUGCAACUCUAGCAUUUCAUUGGAUUUUCUGAAAUACCACAUGUUUAUUAUUACAUUCUUUGACCUAGAAGAACCGUGAAUUCUGAAGCAUGCCACUCAGGACUUUGAGGUUACUUACUGCAGUCACAUAAGCAUUCUAUUCUAUGUACCUGUAAUACGAACCACUUCAGGACUUCUUAAAGCUGUUUUUAAAUGUAUUGAAAUACUGUUUUGUUUUGUUGAGACACAGAAAGCGCCCAAGUGGGUAAGGGGCAGAGGAACAGAGACUCUUAAGCAGGCUCCACGCCCAGCAUGGACCCCAAGCAAGGGUCAAUCUCACAACCCUGAGAUCAUGACCUGAGCUAAAAAUCAAGAGUCAGAUGCCACCCAGGUGCACCUGCUCUCUUCAUCUUCUUAAAAAACUUUCAUGAUUAACGUAUCUUGCCCAAAGAAACAGACUGUAUAAAUGAGCCAGCUUCGUGGUUCAUGUGUAGAAAUAAUUAAUUUAGCUAUAAAACCUAAAAUAAAAUUUGUAAGCUAAGAUGCCUAUUACUGGGACCUCUGAGAUUUGAAAGGGUAGGAGCUAUCAAAUGAAGUGCUUACAGGUCCGUUGUAUCCUCCUCCUCGUGAAUUGUCACCUAACAAAAGUUUUAUAUUAAAGCUAUUUUUCCCCAUCCCAUUUGCUGAAUCACGAGGUCUGUUCCGUCACUUGAAAUACGGAUAUUUCUCCGUAAUGAGACAUUAUUAGAAUGUUACAUUCACCUUAGGCACUAAAUUAUUUCCAAACAAAACAGACCUCUAGAAUUAAUGUAUAUGGUAAGAUCAAAUGAAAUACUUGUCAGUGGUAAUAAAAAUUUCAACUUACAUUUUUGCAACUUCUUUAACGACAUCACGGCAGGUCAUUUCUUUCAUCUAUAGAAAAUAUUAAGUUAUGAGUCGGGAGAACUUCCCACUUAUAUAACUAUUUUCAGAUUCUUUGCACAAAUUUUGUGAGUACCCAUGGUUUUGAACUAGAGUCUCAGACAUAAAACCAAAAACAGAAUACACUGAAUUUAAGAAUACCAGUCUUACUAGGAAAUACAGACCUAAUAUGUGGGACUAACUACAAAAGCAACUGGCAUGGGCUCUUAAAAAAAUGAGCACUGGGAGAAGGUGAAGACUGAAAUGUGAGCCUUAAUUAUCAUGGUUUGAAAAAGUUACAAAAUGAAACAGAUUACUGAGGUGGUUUGACUACAGACUGAAUACCUAAUACUAUCUUCUGUGUAAUAAUGUUAUUCUACAGAGAUGAAUGCUGAAGCAUUUAGGGAUACAGCAUCAUGAUGUCUGUAAUUGUUUCAAACAGUUCAGGAAAAAAAAAAUGGGUGAAAAUAACUUUUCAAUCUAGAUGGAGAGAUCUGUUGCACUAUUUAUCUUUCCUGUUUACAUUUUUUUCAUGUUAAAUUGGGGGGGAAGUAAAUGAAAAGAAUGCCUAUUUCUUUAUACUUCCGCCCUUAUAGGUUAUAGUUAGUGAAUUGUAUCAUAAUAAUAAAUACAAACUUAAGUAAACAUGGAAAAGCACAUUUUAAGUGACAAUUAUAUUCUUAUAUAUGUUCAUGAAAUUUUUAUUUUAUGCCAUAAUAUUCUUAGUAAAUAACAUCAGCAGAAGAACAAGCCAGAGCAAUGAUGUAGAUCAUGGGUUGGCAAACUCCUUUAUAGAAAUAAAGAGCCAAAUAAGUAAAUAUUUUAGACUUUAUGGUACAUAGGGUCUUUGGUCUAUGUUCCAACUCUUAAACUCUACUAUUGUACUGUGAAAGCAGCCAGUGACUAAACAUGACUGUGUCCCAAUAAAACUUUAGAAAGCAGACAGUGUGCCAUAGUUUACUGACCUCUGAUUUUAGAGUGUGUUUUUGUCAUUAAGUAUACACAUGUUCCUCAAAGUGAUAUUCAUUCUUAGCUCAGAUUUGUUUAUUACAAUUUGACCUCAGAAAGACAGGAUAGAUGACCACUCUGAAUAGUGUAUUUUCAAAUUUCCACAUAACAUUCAGGAGAGAUGAAAGCAAGGGGGAAAAGAGAAGGUAGGAACUUAGCACCACACCAGGAGGGGUGUGAAAGGACGUGGUCUAAGAAUCAUGAGGUCUGUUCAUAAUCAACAUAUACUAUGACUCUAGCCAGUGUGUUUCACAUAGAAUUGAGCUAACCUAAAAUGACCUCUGAGGUCUUUUUGUCUAUUUUACUAAAAUACCAAAUAUAAAUUAGGCUUUUGUAGGCCUAUAAUUUGGCAUAAAAUUCUAAGCACUCAAAAAAUGUUUUCUAGAACCUGACCUGAAGUUGAAUGGUUGAGCAAGUUUCCAGUUCAGAAUAUUAAAUAUAUAUGAAAUUUUUUUGUCAUUUACCACAAUACUGAUAAAAUCCUGUCUUUAAUGGAAGUUUCUGAUAAAUAAUAAAGAGUGGAUACUGUUUCAAUGUUAAGUUGAACAGUUUGACUAAAAGGAAAACCAGGACAUUAAAAUUUUUUUUUUACACUAAUAAAAUUUAUGGCUCUUGGGGGAACAGAAAAGUGGGCAGUUUUAACAGGAUGGGGUUUAAUGCCUUAUCUAACUAGGAACAAAGGAAAGAGAAGCACCAGAACACAGACUCUAAAGACUUUCAAAGUUCUCAACCUAAGGGUCACAGAGUUCCAUGAAUGGACCUCAAGGAUUAUGAAAUUAUAUGAAAAUUUCCAUGUGUAUUUUUCUGGAUUAAGGGGUUUAUCAUUAGCCAUCAAAAUUAUAAAGGGCUCCAUGACACAACUCUGUAAUUAUCAUACAUAUCUACAGCACAUAUAUCUAUACUCUAUAUAUAUCGUAUCUGUGUCAUACCUUAUCUGUAUACAUACAGAUAUGACCAGCUUUCUUAUUCAGCCUAUUACGUUCAGAAAGCCCUGCUCAAAACAGGAAACCACACUCUAUGUAAUCUUAAACAGUUUCAUUUGUUGUGAUAAAACUUCACUACAUGAGGAUAAUGUCAUAGGAAAAUUCAAGCAUUAAGUAUGUAUUACCUGAAGCUUUUCUAUUUCCGUCUUUGCAGCUUGCCUGGCUUUGCCAAUGGCACAACCCCAAUAACCCUAUUUAAAAAGAACACACACCAAAAUAUACAUACAUAGUUUAAUUAAAUUGCUAUACUAUUCUAAAAUCAUUAGUAACUACAACCGUUCCUAUUUAAAGGUUAAGAAAGAAUGUUAAAUGAUUUUCAAAAGUAAAUAUGGAGAAAUACAAACACAUUCUAAUGAACACCAAGCUGGAAAAAAAAUGUAAUUCUAGAAUUAUCUGGAUUAUUUGUAUUAGAGGCAUAUACAAAGAAAAACACACACUUCAUGAACUCGAGACGUUUUUCAGAGUAGGAAUGGAAAAAUUCUUAGUAUUAUGAUAAAAAGUUGAAAUAAUUACAGAGUUCAGUAUUCUAAAGUUUCAAUUUUUAUUGAAAUUUUUUAAAGGAUUCCCAUUUAUACUUGUGUAUCAUGACAAAAUACAGGUUUUAUUUUUAUAAUUUUUCAACAUUUAUUUAUUUUUGAGACAAAGAUAGCAUGAGCGGGGUAGGGGCAAAGAGAGAGAGGGAAACACAGAAUCUGAAGCAGGCUCCAGGCUCUGAGCUGUCAGCACAGAGCCCAAUGCGGGGCUCGAAUCUACGAACCAUGAGAUCAUGACCUGAGCCAAAGUCAGACGCUUAACUGAGCCACCCAGGCACCUAUAGUCUUUUUUUUUUUUUUUAAUUUUUAAAAACCAUAAAUACCUCAGAAGAGAGAUAAAGUAAUUAAAGAUGCAAGAAAUGACAUUUAAAAAAAAUUUUUUUUUUAAGUUUAUUUAGGGGCACCUGGGUGGCUCAGUCAGGUAAGCAUCAGACUUCAGCUCAGGUCAUGACCUUGCAGUUUGUGGGUUUAAGCCCCGCAUCAGGCUGGGCUCACUGCUGUUCAGCGCGGAGCCCACAUCGGAUCCUCUGUCCCCUUUCUCUCUGUCCCUGCCCAGCUGACAUGUGCUCUCUCCCAAAAAAAAAAAAAAAAAAGUUAAAAUUUGUAUUUACUUUUGAGAGAGAGUACAAGUAGGGAAGGGGCAGAGAGAGAGGGAAGCCCAAAGUAGGCUCCACACCACCAAAGCUCACUAACAGUAAGAUCAUGAGCUGAAAUCAAGAGUUGGACACUUAACUGCACCAGACUCCCCUAAAAUCCUUUUUUUUAAGGGAAGGUAUUAGUAUUGGUUUUAAGACUUGCUAGUAUUUGUCACAAUAAAGGAAAAUACCACAUAUUCAGAUUUUUAGGUUCACUAUUUAGUUUCUAUGAACAGCAUAUUGAAAGCCAUAAAUCAGGGCACUUAAGUGGCUUGGUCAGCUAAGCCUCUGACUUCAACUCAGGUCAUGAUCUCAUGGUUUGUGAGUUUGAGCCCCAUGUCAGGCUCUGUGCUGACAGCUCAGAGCCUAGAGCCUGCUUCAGAUUCCAUGUCUCCCUCUCUGCUCCUCUCCUACACACACACACACACACACACACACACACUCGCUCGCUCUC